rnacentral:rRNA from 1 species
GGGAAUUUUGCGCAAUGGGGGAAACCCUGACGCAGCAACGCCGCGUGGAGGAUGAAGUAUCUUGGUACGUAAACUCCUUUCGAUAGGGAAGAUAAUGACGGUACCUAUAGAAGAAGCCCCGGCUAACUUCGUGCCAGCAGCCGCGGUAAUACGAGGGGGGCAAGCGUUGUUCGGAAUUAUUGGGCGUAAAGGGUGCGUAGGCGGUUCAGCAAGUCUCGUGUGAAAUCUUCGGGCUCAACCCGAAGUCUGCACGGGAUACUACUGGGCUUGAGUGUGGGAGAGGUGAGUGGAAUUUCCGGUGUAGCGGUGAAAUGCGUAGAUAUCGGAAGGAACACCUGUGGCGAAAGCGGCUCACUGGACCAUAACUGACGCUGAUGCACGAAAGCUAGGGGAGCAAAC